rnacentral:misc_RNA from 1 species
GCCUUUAGCAAAAUUACCAGCAGCAAUGGAGGCAACAUGUGUUCCAUGACCUCUAGUAUCCCUUGCAGAAUUCAUUGAAAUAUUCACAGUAGGAUUAUCAGCCAAAAUCCCUUUGUUGAAAUAAUUAGCCCCUAUGAUCUUCCUGUUACACAAUGAAGAAUCAAAAUCUGUUCCUGCCUUGCAAAUUCCCUUCCACCUUUU